GGCCCCGUCGUCUAGUGGUCUAGGACACCACCCUUUCAAGGUGGGUACGCCGGUUCGAACCCGGUCGGGGCUACCA
rnacentral:tRNA from 1 species